rnacentral:misc_RNA from 1 species
GAUGAAGAACGUAGCGAAAUGCGAUAAGUAAUGUGAAUUGCAGAAUUCAGUGAAUCAUCGAAUCUUUGAACGCACAUUGCGCCCGCCAGUAUUCUGGCGGGCAUGCCUGUUCGAGCGUCAUUUCAACCCUCAGGCCCCCAGUGCCUGGCGUUGGGGAUCGGCGCGGCGCCCUCCGGGGCGCUGCCGGCCCCGAAAUUCAGUGGCGGUCUCGCUGUAGCCCUCCUCCGCGUAGUAGCACAACCUCGCGGCCUGGAGCUCGGCGGUGGCCAUGCCGUAAAACACCCCACUGCUGAAAGUUGACCUCGGAUCAGGUAGGAAUACCCGCUGAACUUAAGCAUAUCAAUAAGCGGAGGA